rnacentral:rRNA from 1 species
UUCAUAGAGUGUAAAGGCAUAAGGGAGCUUGACUGCGAGACCUACAAGUCGAGCAGGGUCGAAAGACGGACUUAGUGAUCCGGUGGUUCCGCAUGGAAGGGCCAUCGCUCAACGGAUAAAAGCUACCCCGGGGAUAACAGGCUUAUCUCCCCCAAGAGUUCACAUCGACGGGGAGGUUUGGCACCUCGAUGUCGGCUCAUCGCAUCCUGGGGCUGUAGUCGGUCCCAAGGGUUGGGCUGUUCGCCCAUUAAAGCGGUACGCGAGCUGGGUUCAGAACGUCGUGAGACAGUUCGGUCCCUAUCCGUCGUGGGCGUAGGAAAUUUGAGAGGAGCUGUCCUUAGUACGAGAGGACCGGGAUGGACAUACCUCUGGUGUACCAGUUGUCGUGCCAACGGCAUAGCUGGGUAGCUAUGUGUGGACGGGAUAAGUGCUGAA